rnacentral:rRNA from 1 species
UACGGGGGGGGCAAGCGUUGUUCGGAAUUACUGGGCGUAAAGGGCUCGUAGGCGGCCAACUAAGUCGGACGUGAAAUCCCCAGGCUCAACCUGGGAACUGCGUCCGAUACUGGAUGGCUUGAAUCCGGGAGAGGGAUGCAGAAUUCCAGGUGUAGCAGUGAAAUGCGUAGAUAUCUGGAGGAAUACCGGUGGCGAAGGCGGCAUCCUGGACCGGCAUUGACGCUGAGGAGCGAAAGCCAGGGGAGCAAACGGG